AGUGUCACGGGCGAUGCGCGUAUGCAAUACACCGCUCACGCUACGGGGUAGUAGAGUCGGGUGAUAUUAGUAGAGUCGGGUCACGUGAUAUUCAGAUCACAAUGACAACUGAAGAGGAGUGCAUUUUAUUGCUGAUUUUACAUCGGCGGCAACAAAGGCAGCGCAGAGAUAGGCGGUGGUAUGUUAUACGUAAAAGCUCGCAUAAUUUUUCCUCUUCACCAGCCAUUGUAUUCAAACCUUCUUCUUCUGUAAACAUAAUAUCCUUGAAUUAAUGUACAGUUCUUGCAAUGUCAACCCCACCGACAACGCAUAGUAUUGCGUGCAUCGGCGCGUCGCAUAUCAAAAACUAGGACGACACAUUUGGCUACGCACCGACGCAUAAUGGCAGCUGAAGCGUAACGAUCUGUAGCCUUGGGGACGCGUAUGCGUACAGAUGCGUUGACUAUGAAACGGCCCUUAUUCGCACAAGUCGCGUCUGGUGUGAAUGCACAGUAACUCCUUUCUGAACUGCAAGUUAUGAAAUUAACAUUAAAGAAAUAUGAAUGUGACCGAGCUGGGGUCUCAAAUGUUACACAUUUUCAGAAACUUUGGACUUUUCCCCUUUUAAUGAGAUAAGUGUGUAAAAACGGUACAUCACUUGCAUCAGAAUAAAAAAAGCCAUCAAAAAUUGGCCUACGUAGAAAUGCAAUGUAAUAACGUUAAAAUAAUAAUCAAUCUACUUCAUAUCCUUGGAAUUAUUUAAACAAAAACAUUCACUGCAGAGAUGUUCUGUAAAAACAACUAUUGUACAAAAAAUAUAUACUGUAUUUUCUUAUAUACUAUUUAGGAUGGAUAGUGUGCACAUUGGGAUGCAGGCUUGUUCCCCUCAAUUUGAUCUGACAUCUGAAAAAUACAUCAGUGAUGUGGAUAUUAAUCAUUUUAAAAUAUGAGCUUUAUGUGGGUCUUUUCCAGGAGUAUGACGUGUUGAUGAAGUAUUAGACAUGUUUUUGAUAUUUAUUUUAGUUAAAUUAAAUGUUAUAUUAAUUAAAGGUGCUAGCUGCCUGUCCCCUGAACACACUGUAAAAAAAAACGCGGUCUCUCUAGACACCACAGGCUCCACAAACAACAAGAAAAACAAACUGGGCUCACCCGCACCACGAAACAUAACAAACUGUUCCAGCCAAUAAGCGACAAGAAAGAUUUGGGGGUGGGGUUUGGGGGAUUAGUGCGCGGAUGAGGAGGAGGGAGGGUCUAGCUAGCCUCCGUUUUGUUUGACAACAAUUCUAAUGUCAACAAGAAGUUACGACUCCCGGCAUCGCUUAGAGCACCUUUAAGUAUCUGUCUUUACAUUCUGAGUAAUGCUGAAAGGUUUUAACUUAAAUCAAGAGACAGCUGUAUGUGGGUCGCAGGUGUGUGUGUCGCACUGAACAUUACGUCGCGGCAGUUGUGUGUGGCCUUGCUAUGACGACCAUCUGCAUUGAGGGGUACUAUCUCUGGGUAUGAUCUGCAAUGGAAAAUGGAGCACAGCCAAAGCUGGUACUGGUAAUGGAAAAACGCCAUAAAAGUCACCCAGUAAAUCAUUGUUUAAAGUACUGUUCAUGCUCAACAUCUAGAAAAUGCACAUAGGCUUAAAACAUGGUCAAGUCCUUCAGUCAAAAACAAUAGAAGCUAAGUUCUUUCCAGUAACAAACAAACAAGUUCAUAUAUAAUCAGUAUUAAUAUACAGAUGUGAAUGUUCAUUUGGCAGAUUGAUAAUCACCCACGUCCUUUCAGAAUUCCAACGAUGGCUAUGAUCCUCUGUAGUGGCUCUCACCAGGCCUUGACCUGAAAAAUAGAUCAGAUGUAUCAUGCUUGUAAAAAUUCCUACACAUCAACGGUGGCCACAUUGUAUUGUUUUCAAUUUACACACAAUGGCAACUUUGCCUCCUACCCUCACAGCAUCGCCAGAGCAGAGCCAUUAGGUUGCUGCUUAACAAUAAUUGCAGUUUGGAGCUUGAAUGAAGAUUGAGCAUGAACAAACUUUGCCUCUAUUAAUGCUUCUAAUGCAGGAACAUUAAGGGGUUAAAAUGUAUUAAAAGGGUUCAAGGUGCUCUGUAAAUGUGAUCAACAAAAUCUUAAAACCACUUGUAAAACGGACUGCUAUCAAGUGUGAUUUUGGCACAAACCUUUGGCAAAAGACUGAGUUUAAUUAUUCUGACUCGCAGUACAAUUAUUGAAUUUAGAGAUGGAUCAUGAUUUUCGAAUUUUCAUUCAUUGUCAAAUGGAAUAGUUUGUUAUUUUUGCCGAGUUUAUAAAGUAGGGCUGUGCAAUUAAUCUAAAUCUUAAUAAAAUCACGAUUUGAGCGUGCGCA
ensembl:lncRNA